CCGUAACUAUAACGGUCCUAAGGUAGCGAAAUUCCUUGUCGGGUAAGUUCCGACCUGCACGAAUGGCGUAAUGAUGGCCAGGCUGUCUCCACCCGAGACUCAGUGAAAUUGAACUCGCUGUGAAGAUGCAGUGUACCCGCGGCAAGACGGAAAGACCCCGUGAACCUUUACUAUAGCUUGACACUGAACAUUGAGCCUUGAUGUGUAGGAUAGGUGGGAGGCUUUGAAGUGUGGACGCCAGUCUGCAUGGAGCCGACCUUGAAAUACCACCCUUUAAUGUUUGAUGUUCUAACGUGGGCCCCUUACCGGGGUUGCGGACAGUGUCUGGUGGGUAGUUUGACUGGGGCGGUCUCCUCCUAAAGAGUAACGGAGGAGCACGAAGGUUGGCUAAUCCUGGUCGGACAUCAGGAGGUUAGUGCAAUGGCAUAAGCCAGCUUGACUGCGAGCGUGACGGCGCGAGCAGGUGCGAAAGCAGGUCAUAGUGAUCCGGUGGUUCUGAAUGGAAGGGCCAUCGCUCAACGGAUAAAAGGUACUCCGGGGAUAACAGGCUGAUACCGCCCAAGAGUUCAUAUCGACGGCGGUGUUUGGCACCUCGAUGUCGGCUCAUCUCAUCCUGGGGCUGUAGCCGGUCCCAAGGGUAUGGCUGUUCGCCAUUUAAAGAGGUACGUGAGCUGGGUUUAAAACGUCGUGAGACAGUUUUGUCCCUAUCUGCCGUGGGCGCUGGAAGAUUGACGGGGGCUGCUCCUAGUACGAGAGGACCGGAGUGGACUCACCUCUGGUGUACCGGUUGUCACGCCAGUGGCAUCGCCGGGUAGCUAUGUGGGGAAGAGAUAACCGCUGAAAGCAUCUAAGCGGGAAACUUGCCUGAAGAUAAGUCUUCCUGGAGGCUAGACCUCCCUAAAGAGUCGUUCGAGACCAGGACGUUGAUAGGAUGGGUGUGUAAGUGCUGUGAGGCACUCAGCUAACCAUUACUAAUUGCUCGUGAAGCUUGAUCCU
rnacentral:rRNA from 1 species